rnacentral:tRNA from 1 species
CGGGGCGUAGUAUAACGGUUAUUAUGCAGGGCUGGGGGUCCUGUGAUCGGAGUUCAAUUCUCCGCGCCCCGACCC